AUUAUUGGUGUUUAGUCAAAAUCUCCUUUCUUGUAACUUGAAGCCGUUGGUUUGGGUAUUAUCCUCCUAGGCAGAAGAAAACAAGCUUCCUCCAUCUUCCAUGGAUAUUUGAAAAUGGCUAUCAUAUCUCCUCCCAGUCUCCUUUUCUCCAGGCUAAAAAUACCCAGCUCGUUCA